rnacentral:tRNA from 1 species
AAUCAAUGAACUUGUAUAAGUAUAUAUUUUGAAAAUAUAAAAAAGAAUUAACUUUCUAUUGAUUU